UACGAAGGGGGCUAGCGUUGCUCGGAAUCACUGGGCGUAAAGCGCACGUAGGCGGCUUUUUAAGUCAGGGGGGAAAUCCUGGAGCUCAACUCCAGAACUGCCUUUGAUACUGAGAAGCUUGAGUCCGGGAGAGGUGAGUGGAACUGCGAGUGUAGAGGUGAAAUUCGUAGAUAUUCGCAAGAACCCCAGUGGCGAAGGCGAGUCUCUGGACAUUUCCUGACGCUGAGGCACGAAAGCCAGGGGAGCAAACGGG
rnacentral:rRNA from 1 species